GAUGAACGCUGGCGGCGUGCCUAAUACAUGCAAGUCGAGCGAACGGACGAGAAGCUUGCUUCUCUGAUGUUAGCGGCGGACGGGUGAGUAACACGUGGAUAACCUACCUAUAAGACUGGGAUAACUUCGGGAAACCGGAGCUAAUACCGGAUAAUAUUUUGAACCGCAUGGUUCAAAAGUGAAAGACGGUCUUGCUGUCACUUAUAGAUGGAUCCGCGCUGCAUUAGCUAGUUGGUAAGGUAACGGCUUACCAAGGCAACGAUGCAUAGCCGACCUGAGAGCGUGAUCGGCCACACUGGAACUGAGACACGGUCCAGACUCCUACGGGAGGAAGCAGUAGGGAAUCUUCCGCAAUGGGCGAAAGCCUGACGGAGCAACGCCGCGUGAGUGAUGAAGGUCUUCGGAUCGUAAAACUCUGUUAUUAGGGAAGAACAUAUGUGUAAGUAACUGUGCACAUCUUGACGGUACCUAAUCAGAAAGCCACGGCUAACUACGUG
rnacentral:rRNA from 1 species